ensembl:lncRNA
CUUUGAGCACACUUUGUCAGGGACAUCUUUCAAAACAAUUAGUUUUCACGUCUGGCAUUUAAGAAGCUUUACGAUAACGGCUUAGAUUUCCACUGCACAGGGGAAAGACGGUGACCUCCUGCACUUUAAAAGGAGUUUUCCAGACAAGGAUAUCCAGGUGGUGCCAUGUCUAAAUAUACCAAUGAAAAGAGAUGAUGCAGGAGAGACCUCUUCAGGGUUCUCAGCACAUUCUGGACGGCGCCCCCUUGGAUCAACUGUGGGAUCACACUGCUAGUGUCUGCAUGUAUGUUUCCCACCGAAGACUUCCUCAUCAUGGACACAGUCAUCUGCUUCUCCUCUGCCCUGAGUACAUGGCCCAGCACAACCAGAGCUUAAGAUGUGAUAAAUGAAUCAAAAAAUGAUUUGCAUGUGCCCAUAAAAAUGACAACAUUUUGUGUUCUAUUAAGCCUAA